rnacentral:rRNA from 1 species
CCUACGGGCGGCUGCAGUAAGGAAUAUUGGUCAAUGGACGAAAGUCUGAACCAGCCAUCCCGCGUGCAGGAUGAAAGCCCUAUGGGUUGUAAACUGCUUUUAGCAGAGAAGAAAAGCUUUCAUUAAUGAGAGUCUGACGGUAUCUGCAGAAUAAGCACCGGCUAACUCCGUGCCAGCAGCCGCGGUAAUACGGAGGGUGCGAGCGUUAUCCGGUAUAAAGGGUGCGAAGGGGUGGGAAGAAGUAAGUGGUGAAAUCUUGUCGCUUAACGAUAAAAGUGCCUAUGAUACUGGUAGUCUUGAAUUGGGUUGAGGUUAGCGGAAUGUGACAUGUAGCGGUGAAAUGCAUAGAUAUGUCAUGGAACACCAAUUGCGAAGGCAGCUAACUGGGCCUUGAUUGACGCUGAGGCACGAAAGCGUGGGUAGCGAACAGGAUUAGAUACCCCUGUAGUC